ensembl:lncRNA
UAAACCUAAAGAGAAAAAUUCCCCCCCCACCAAUAAAACAAACAAAAUCCAUCAAGUAUACAAAUCAGAACAUAUGCAACAGCCUCAUCAGUAACUUUUAAAAUAAUGUUUGCAUUGAAGCAAUUGAUGUUGUUUAAUACUGAUAACAUCUCCAGUAUUCAUGAAAUAAAUAUUUCAGAUGUGCCCUGGGGCAGACCACCUCAAGAUUGAAAAAACACAUUUUGCUCUAAAAAGUCUAUUCUUAUUUGAUUGGUUCUAAAGUUAGUCUUGAACUUGAGAUACUUACAGGUAGGUGUCUGUUUACUGCUGACUAAAGGCUACUAUUCUCAGCUCCUGAAUCAGAUAAUAAACAUUACCAAAAUGACUUUUUUUAAAAAUACCUUUUAGUCAGCAAGAACCGAUUCAAAUCUGUUUGGCUUUACUCUUAGGUACGUUUUCUUUCUGUUGGAAGGACUAAGAUCAUUCUUGGGCUGCCAGCUUCAUGGAGGAAAAAGAGUUAUGGAUAAAGAGAAAUUCCCUGAAGCCUCUCAGUAGCAUCCUGCUGCUCGCUUGUCAGAGAUCAAGAGUUCACGUGGAUUUCCACUUGAGUCUCCGAGGUUCUGAGAUACAACCCUUCGGAGAGGUCUAAGCGAGGUGACUCCAUCUUGGUUUUGCAUCAUUCAAAGAGAAGAAAAGGGACUCACAGCAUGGCAGCAGGACCUUACCGUCUUGCCAAGCUGUAGAUGUGACUACUACUCUAUUGAUUUGAAAUUGUUGACAUAUUUUCUUCUCUUUGGUGAAUAGCUGUUGCCCUAAACCUUUGAGGGUCCCGCCCUGAUCCCGGGCCCAGUCCUCUCAAAUAUUUUAAAACAUUUUGAAUUUUUUGAAUAUAUUGCUCCGGCUAGUGUGUUUAAUUAUUUUAGCAAAUGACCAAGUUCUAAUAAAAAUAAAUUCAAUGAGCUUUGCAGAUCACACCAAGGUGAGUGAAAUAUUAAGACAAACUUGCCAGUCACAUAGGGUAAAUGGCUAGUAACUAACGGGUAUUGGUUUCAGAGGAGUGGGGUAGAAAUAUGGCAGUAAAUUCUCCGCACUUUGACUCUGAUGAUGAUCAUUGCCACUCCUCAUCUGUGCUCCAAAGGGCAAGGUGAGUGGAAAGAUGAGAAAGAGGAGAGUGCCUGGCUACACAGAGUAGUGUUCAAUACGUAUCUGUGACUGAAUACCGGACUACAUGACAAGUAGAAGAACCACCUCAGGAUAUUUGCUUUUAGGAGGGUUAAAUGAGAUAAUUAAUCGAUUAUCAUGCGACAAAUGUGAAGCAAUAGCUCCAUGUCAGAACUAAAAUCAAACUGUAAUUUUGGUGAUUCUGGACGCAAGGGAAAAGUUUUUAUAAUUUGCAUUUAUAACUUGCAAUGCACAUAGAGAAGAGACUUGCAGAGAUAGUGGGGGAAAGAGAGGGAGGGACGAAUUGAAAGGGUAACAUUGAAACAUAGACAUUACUAAAUGUAAAAUGGAUAGCCAGUGGUUUGUGAGUACCACUCCACUGAUUUGAAAUUGUUGACAUAUUUUCUUGGCUGCACCAAUUUACAUUCCAACCAGCACUGUACAAGGAUUCUUUUUCUCCACAUCCUUGCCAAUAUUUCUUACUUGUGGUCAUUUUAAUAGCC